AACUCAGUAGCUCAGUGGUUUGAGCGUUGGAUUACAACUCUGCAGAACAGGGUUCGAAUCCCCACUCAGCCA